CACAGCCAAGGUCCAACCAAAUUUCGAGGUUGCUGAUUCUGGCUAGUAAUUUAUUAGAGUUAUUCUCCAUAUUCCGUUGGUCCUCUCGUUGCUCCUCCUAUACGGAGGAGAGGCUGCUAACCGAUGGGACUGCUAUGCAUCGCAUGCCGGCUUGAAUGUGUACACCCCUCUGUGCUUGACGCAAUGAAGCAUCGGCGAAUAUACGUCGAGCAGACUCUAGAGUAUACAAAUUAUACGAUAUUCCCAAACAUUUCGAGAACGACAGGGGAAAAGGCCAGGAACAAUGCAAUUGCUGGUGGCGCGCUUUGACAGCCGCCGAGCCCUAAUCAGGCCUAACCAGGCCUAACCAGCCCCUAAAAUCUCCCCCUAACACGCCCGAAAUCCCGUACCAACAACUCUGAUCCCCACAACCACGAGUCAUAUCAUACGCCGUUCCCCAUAUUUUACACACGCGGCAUGUUUGAGAAGAACAGAUCAGUGAUCCGAAUGUUGAAAAAUUGGGACUUUCGUACGGAGUAUUCCGAAGUUAGCAUUGAUACCUACUGCGCCUACUGUAGACUACAGUAGUAGCGCUACGGUCUAAGGGCCGCUAUCCAGGAUUGUGCCUUACUGCCCGCCCGAGGGCAAGGAUAUGGGCCUGCCACAUGUGGGCUAGAAUAAGUAGAAUAAGGGGGGCGAGCUCGCAUACUAAACUAAGAAGGGAAGGAAACAUGUGCAUCAAAAAUUAAAAUCUGUCAUGUGAGAAUAUGAUUUGACUUCUUCAGAGUAAGAGGACUCUGUAUAUGUAGCGUGAAUGAUGCCUCAGGCCGUUAAUCCUUGGGCGUAGUGUUUGGGCAUAUCGGUGUCGAGGUCUUGGAGAUCAACAUAAGCCUCGAGCCCUGAUUCGAGGAUUAUAUCAACUGUGUGAGUGAGUUCGUACGUAUUCCUCAACCCAACGUACAAGAUCGCGGUCAUGUUUUUUAUAUAGAAAUGCCAUCGUUUUCAACCAUUUCUUCCUCUCAUUUCCUGGAAGCAUAUAUCUGUAUCCUUUGAACGAGAGAGGGCACAAUCACUUUGGAAUCCUAAGAUUGAGAGACUGUCGAAGCCAAACAUUGCAAGAACUCUCCAACACCAGGUAAAGGUAUCUUCCCAGUGCUGGUGGAACAUUGAAAUUGGA
rnacentral:lncRNA from 1 species